rnacentral:lncRNA from 1 species
GACCUCAUGUACAAGCGAAGGGUAGCAAGGUACCACAUUGAGAGGGUGUCCGAAAAGAACCUAACACCGGACGACCUAGUUUUGACAAACGCCAAUGUAACGGUUUGGAAAGGCUAUGUGCACGAACGAGUCAUGUGUCUUCUUGCUCAUCCGCCCAUUGAGGACAGCAAGAAGGAGUGGGCUGAGUGGCAAGAGACGGGCGGUCUGGAUUAUCAUCUUCCCUUGGAUGCAAGUGAGGGCAAGAAGGAGGAUCUUGAGGCCAAAUUUGUUGGAUCGUGAUCCGAGGUUAUAAGGGGGGAUAAUAGCUUCUUUUUGAUUUAGGCAGGUUAAAUGUGGAAUUAUCUGCAAAUACUUAAUACACAAAUGGUUGAAUAAUAAUAAAAAGGAUUAUAAUAUUAUAUCUUACAAUAUAAUAUUAUAUAUAUUCAUAAUCUUUCCUUUUCUCUUCAAAGCUUAUUACAGUAUAUGAAUACUGAGUCAACAUAUUAGAUAGUGCUUUAUAAACAACUGUAGUAUAUAGAUAUUAAGUUAUAUUAUAAGUGCACGUUGUAAUAUAGAGUAAAGGACCAGUUAGCUGGAUAUAAAAUGAUAAGUAAAUAAUUGACCAGAUAACUGGAUAUAUAUGAUAGUUAAAUAACUGACCAGAUAACUGGAUAUAUAUGAUAAAUAACUGACCAGGUAACUGGAUAGCGAUUUGAGCAAUAAAUAUAACCUCAGAUACUUGAUCAGAUAACUGGAUGAGGGAUAUGCAGAAAGUAGUCAACCUGUAUACUUGACCAGAUAAUUGGAAGAGGGAUCUUUUUAUUAAGUGUUGUUUUUAGAAAAUAAAACUAAAGUUAACAAAGAACAACACAGAAGAUUUAUACUGGUUCACCCAUACAAGGGCUAAUCCAGUCUCGACAAACUAUCAGAAUUCACUGGCCUAAAGGUAAUGGCAAAACCUUAGAGUAUCAAGGAAACUCUUAAAAACCUCUUUAAGCUUUAAGGCUACUUCGCUUAGGAACCAGUCUUUUACGGGUAGACUCACACCUUAGAGUAUCAAAGAAACUCUUAAGAACCUCUAACUUUUACGGGUAAGUUAGUACCUUGGAGUAUGAAGGAACUCUUAAAAACCUCUCUAAGCUUUAAGGUUACUUCUCUUAGGAAUCAGUCUUUUACGGGUAGACUCACACCUUAGAGUAUUAUGGAACUCUUAAAAACCUCUAACUUUUAUGGGUAAGUUAGGAUCUUAGAGUAUUAAGGAACUCUUAAAAACCUCUAAAUCUUUCAAGGUAGAUUUGACCUAAGAGUUUUUCCGGAAACUCUAUAAAAUCAAACAAGAGCUUUAUGGUUGAGCUCAAAAACCUUCUCUCACACUUUGGUGAUAUUGAGACAAACCUCUCAACCAAAGUGGACACACACAAGAGAGGAUUAAAGGAGUGGAAUGCUUAAAGCACACAAAACUUCUUACUUAUAAAGAUGAACAAGAAGGUUAGAAGUAGAAGUUGAAGAGCUUUUGAAGCUUUUGGAAGCUUGGACACUUGAGAACUUUUGGAAGCUUAAAACCUUGGAAGAUAGAACACUUUGUAGAUCUCAAGAUGAGGAAUGAAAAACUCC